rnacentral:rRNA from 1 species
AGAGUUUGAUCAUGGCUCAGAUUGAACGCUGGCGGCAGGCCUAACACAUGCAAGUCGAACGGUAACAGGAAACAGCUUGCUGUUUCGCUGACGAGUGGCGGACGGGUGAGUAAUGUCUGGGAAACUGCCUGAUGGAGGGGGAUAACUACUGGAAACGGUAGCUAAUACCGCAUAACGUCGCAAGACCAAAGAGGGGGACCCUCGGGCCUCUUGCCAUCGGAUGUGCCCAGAUGGGAUUAGCUUGUUGGUGGGGUAACGGCUCACCAAGGCGACGAUCCCUAGCUGGUCUGAGAGGAUGACCAGCCACACUGGAACUGAGACACGGUCCAGACUCCUACGGGAGGCAGCAGUGGGGAAUAUUGCACAAUGGGCGCAAGCCUGAUGCAGCCAUGCCGCGUGUAUGAAGAAGGCCUUCGGGUUGUAAAGUACUUUCAGCGGGGAGGAAGGGAGUAAAGUUAAUACCUUUGCUCAUUGACGUUACCCGCAGAAGAAGCACCGGCUAACUCCGUGCCAGCAGCCGCGGUAAUACGGAGGGUGCAAGCGUUAAUCGGAAUUACUGGGCGUAAAGCGCACGCAGGCGGUUUGUUAAGUCAGAUGUGAAAUCCCCGGGCUCAACCUGGGAACUGCAUCUGAUACUGGCAAGCUUGAGUCUCGUAGAGGGGGGGUAGAAUUCCAGGUGUAGCGGUGAAAUGCGUAGAGAUCUGGAGGAAUACCGGUGGCGAAGGCGGCCCCCUGGACGAAGACUGACGCUCAGGUGCGAAAGCGUGGGGAGCAAACAGGAUUAGAUACCCUGGUAGUCCACGCCGUAAACGAUGUCGACUUGGAGGUUGUGCCCUUGAGGCGUGGCUUCCGGAGCUAACGCGUUAAGUCGACCGCCUGGGGAGUACGGCCGCAAGGUUAAAACUCAAAUGAAUUGACGGGGGCCCGCACAAGCGGUGGAGCAUGUGGUUUAAUUCGAUGCAACGCGAAGAACCUUACCUGGUCUUGACAUCCACGGAAGUUUUCAGAGAUGAGAAUGUGCCUUCGGGAACCGUGAGACAGGUGCUGCAUGGCUGUCGUCAGCUCGUGUUGUGAAAUGUUGGGUUAAGUCCCGCAACGAGCGCAACCCUUAUCCUUUGUUGCCAGCGGUCCGGCCGGGAACUCAAAGGAGACUGCCAGUGAUAAACUGGAGGAAGGUGGGGAUGACGUCAAGUCAUCAUGGCCCUUACGACCAGGGCUACACACGUGCUACAAUGGCGCAUACAAAGAGAAGCGACCUCGCGAGAGCAAGCGGACCUCAUAAAGUGCGUCGUAGUCCGGAUUGGAGUCUGCAACUCGACUCCAUGAAGUCGGAAUCGCUAGUAAUCGUGGAUCAGAAUGCCACGGUGAAUACGUUCCCGGGCCUUGUACACACCGCCCGUCACACCAUGGGAGUGGGUUGCAAAAGAAGUAGGUAGCUUAACCUUCGGGAGGGCGCUUACCACUUUGUGAUUCAUGACUGGGGUGAAGUCGAAACAAGGUA